GCUCAGGAUGAACGCUGGCGGCGUGCUUAACACAUGCAAGUCGAACGAUGAUGCCCACUUGUGGGUGGAUUAGUGGCGAACGGGUGAGUAACACGUGAGUAACCUGCCCUUGACUCUGGGAUAAGCCUGGGAAACUGGGUCUAAUACCGGAUAUGACCUUCCAUCGCAUGGUGGUUGGUGGAAAGCUUUUGUGGUUUUGGAUGGACUCGCGGCCUAUCAGCUUGUUGGUGGGGUAAUGGCCUACCAAGGCGACGACGGGUAGCCGGCCUGAGAGGGUGACCGGCCACACUGGGACUGAGACACGGCCCAGACUCCUACGGGAGGCAGCAGUGGGGAAUAUUGCACAAUGGGCGCAAGCCUGAUGCAGCGACGCCGCGUGAGGGAUGACGGCCUUCGGGUUGUAAACCUCUUUCAGUAGGGAAGAAGCGAAAGUGACGGUACCUGCAGAAGAAGCGCCGGCUAACUACGUGCCAGCAGCCGCGGUAAUACGUAGGGCGCAAGCGUUAUCCGGAAUUAUUGGGCGUAAAGAGCUCGUAGGCGGUUUGUCGCGUCUGCCGUGAAAGUCCGGGGCUCAACUCCGGAUCUGCGGUGGG
rnacentral:rRNA from 1 species